CCUACGGGAGGCAGCAGUGGGGAAUAUUGCACAAUGGGGGAAACCCUGAUGCAGCAACGCCGCGUGAGUGAAGAAGUAUUUCGGUAUGUAAAGCUCUAUCAGCAGGGAAGAAGAAAGACGGUACCUGACUAAGAAGCCCCGGCUAACUACGUGCCAGCAGCCGCGGUAAUACGUAGGGGGCAAGCGUUAUCCGGAUUUACUGGGUUUAAAGGGAGCGUAGAGGGCUGUGCAAGUCAGAAGUGAAAGCCUGUGGCUCAACCGCGGAACUGCUUUGGAAACUGAAUAGCUUGAGUACUGGAGAGGUAGGCGGAAUUCGUAGUGUAGCGGUGAAAUGCGUAGAUAUUAGGAGGAACACCAGUUGCGAAGGCGGCUUGCUGGACAGAAACUGACGUUGAGGCUCGAAAGCGUGGGGAGCAAACAGGAUUAGAUACCCCAGUAGUC
rnacentral:rRNA from 1 species